GACGAACGCUGGCGGCGUGCUUAACACAUGCAAGUCGAACGGAAAGGCCCUGCUUUUGUGGGGUGCUCGAGUGGCGAACGGGUGAGUAACACGUGAGUAACCUGCCCUUGACUUUGGGAUAACUUCAGGAAACUGGGGCUAAUACCGGAUAGGAGCUCCUGCUGCAUGGUGGGGGUUGGAAAGUUUCGGCGGUUGGGGAUGGACUCGCGGCUUAUCAGCUUGUUGGUGGGGUAGUGGCUUACCAAGGCUUUGACGGGUAGCCGGCCUGAGAGGGUGACCGGCCACAUUGGGACUGAGAUACGCCCCAGACUCCUACGGGAGGCAGCAGUGGGGAAUAUUGCACAAUGGACGGAAGCCUGAUGCAGCAACGCCGCGUGCGGGAUGACGGCCUUCGGGUUGUAAACCGCUUUCGCAUGUGACGAAGCGUGAGUGACGGUAAUGGGUAAAGAAGCACCGGCUAACUACGUG
rnacentral:rRNA from 1 species